rnacentral:rRNA from 1 species
UUUGAAAGGGAAACGAUUGAAGUCAGUCGUACCGACGGAAAAUCAACUCUUCGAGUGUGGACUUUGUGGACGUGCGUGAGCUUUAACGGCCUCGCUGUUUGUAACGUUCGUGCUUUUUGGGUGUACUUUUUCGUAUGGUAGGCCAACAUCAGUUUUGAUCGCUAUAAAAUGACUGGAGGAAUGUAGCUUCGAUCUCGUAUUGAAGUGUUAUAGCCUUUGGUAGAUGUGGUGAUCGAGACUGAGGAUUGCAACGAAUAUCCUUUGGGCUAUCCGUCUGAUCUCUGAAAGUCGCUUAGGUGCCGAAAGCUUGCUUACGGUCAUUUAAGUUGACGUCAAAAGUG